UUAUUCUUCCAAUUUAAUUUAAUGAGACUGAAAUAUUAACACACACAAAAAAAUUAAGUUUGUAAUUUCCAGGUCCACAGGCACUUCAUUGGACCACCUAAACAGAUACAUUCUCAAAUUAUAUACAAUUGGCACAAAUCAAAGCUUGUCAUCUCCACAGUUUUAAAAGAAAGGAAAAUAAAAAAAAACAUUUUGAUUUUCAAUGUUUAGGAUUGUGUGCAAAUAAUCCAUCUCCAAUCACAUAAUGAAAAAAGCAACACAAUGGUUUAGGAUUAUGUCUAUAACACAUAUCUCCAGUAACUAACUGAAGUAAAACAAAUGCAAUGGGGUAUACCUAGUGCCAUUCCUGAAUAAUCAACAUGACAAAAAAACUGUAUAUGUACACUAGAUAAAAAAAAUUAAUUGAGUGGGAGGGGGGUGCUCAUGAUGAGUACACACAAUUUAUAAACCAAAAUUAUAACAGUACUACUGAACUGUCAUAAAAAAAAAUCUAUGAUUUGUUUUGCUUUAAAAAAAAUAUUUUGAAAUAAGAAAUAGAUGAAAUGCAUAUGAACAGAGCUUUCUCCAGCUGCUGUUACUUCAUAGUUGCUCGCACCUUUUUCAGAUACCGGUACAGAAACAAUGAAAGAAAAGUUUUCACUGAAAGACAACCCUUUUUGCGCUUUCCCGUCAACAAAGCAUAUUCACAACCAACUAAAUGUCACGGUCAAUAAGGAUUUACACUAUCAAUAGUUUGUUGA